CGGAGGCACAGAGAAGUGAGGUGACUUGCCCAGGAUCACACAGCAGGAAACAGGUGCUAUGUCCCCACCCUCUGAAAGUGGAAUUUAUGCUUGGAGCUCAGCACUCACCAACUAGCCAGAGGGAAGAUUUCUCUAGCCAUCCUUGCAAGGUCACUGUACUGAACACACUAAGAUGGUGUGUUCACUGCAGCUGAGGGAGGAUGGCUCCCCAUGGUUCCGCCCUGGCCUGACCCACGGAGCCACAGCUGGAGUCUGUGGUAGGAUGCAGCUGGAAGACUCAAGGGACUCGGCCAGGACGAGGGAGGCUCUGUGCGUAAGGUUCUGGUCGGGGUCCAAAUCUCUUAGGAAGCCUCGUGGGGCUGAGGCCUAAGCCAGGCCAGUUGCUCCCGGACUUAGUUCUCAAGCUUCAGGAUCUGGAGGAGGGAUGCGGGGAGGUUGCUGGGGCCAGAGAGGAAACAGGGAUUCUCAAGCACCCUGUCGGUGACCA